AAAAAAAGGCACAGAAAGGAGUGAAAAAAUCGGGGGGUAGGGGGAACUGCUAGGAGAGCCAGGGAAAAGGCAGAAGAGAGGACAAAGGAUUGUAGCAAGGGUGAAGGAAGAGAGAAGAUGGGGAAACACAGUGACCAAAAAAAAGAGCAGUCAGAGCUGUCCUCUAGAUGUUCUCUACUCCUGAGACAGAAUGUUCCAGCCCAGGGAGGAGCAGUUUGGAGAAAACUUAGAGAAACCUAGAGGCUGCAUUCCCUGUUUGCCCCACAGUCAGCAUAAACCCUAGAAUGCUGCUCCUAACUGCAGCACGUCUGCUUACCACCUGCCUAUUGUUCACCCUGACUGAAGGAUACAGUAAUGAGAGUCCAUGCUUUGCCUCCACCUUGGCAUGGAGAUGAUGUGUCCCGGACCUGCACCUUGCAAGUUGUAGAUAAAUUUGGAAGGAAUGUGA